AUGGAAACUAAGCUCUUCGAAGAGAGGCCGCGCCCCGCCGAGAGCGGGGGGACAUCGAGGGAGACAAAGCCCGAAGGAGCAGAUGCCAGAUUUCGCGGGCCCGCCUCUCAGCCUGCCACUGACUCCCAUCCGGGGACCUGUUCAGCUGGGAAUAGCGAGACCCCCUCGGUGCUGGUCAGAGGGUCGGGAAACAGUAGUCCCCUCGGUGGGGCGUCCCCCCGCUCCCUUUCGGUCAGAGCUGUGGAUUCUCUCCACCUUUCCCCUUGGGAGAGAAACCUCGCCACGCUUCUUCCAAGCGAACGCCCCAGGGAGACCCCAGAAAGGGGCCCUCAGACCCACAUCAUCCGACAAGAACCCAGCACAAUCGUUUUUGCCAACUACGAGUUUUUAUCCCCUGCCGUCGAUUCUGUGCUCCGCGGCCCAGAGGUCCCGGACGCCGAAGCCUCUUCAUAUGAGUCCGGGGAGGAGGAGGAGGGAGAAGAGGGUGACGAAGAUGUUUUCACCCAGCCAUCCCUUCGCGAGCCGUUUGUCCACGGCCUUCUCCCGAGCAUCAUUCCCGCAGACCAGCCAGAGGCAUGUGAAUUCCCCGAGGAGGGGGAUGUUUGUCUUACACCGAGCCCCCCGGGGCGUUGGGAGAGAGAACCUAAUGAACGGGCGACGGGAGAGAAGCAGAUCCACAAAGCGGAACUCACACUCCAAUGAUACGAAGCCUUGGGGAGUUAUGAAGAAUGCG
rnacentral:lncRNA from 1 species